UCUACGUCGAUGGUAUGCAAGCCAGGCUCUGUCUCAACAGAAAAAUAAAUAGAUUACCGCAGAGCAACUUCAGCCUGUAACCAGCUAGCUUUCUAGAUGUAGAAGUAGCUUCGUAAUGGUGAAAUGCGCCAUGCAAACCUUUCAACCACCAUUCCAGUAUGUUCCCAGUCACCUGGAAUUACAAAUAGAAUCUACAUUAUCAUGAAGAAAAUUAUACGCAGUAUGCAUCGGAGGCAGAAAAUUUAUUCAAGCUCUGAAGUCCCAAACAACUGAAAAUGCUCCAAAACACCAUCACGUGACCCUGGUAUUCUCAAAGUGCUGGUGAAAGUGUUUGUUUUGUAGGCCUAAAUGUUUGUUGAUAGUAGAGAGGCGGACUGAUAGACUUUAUAACAAGUCAUGAUCAACAUUCCCCAACUGUUAGUUAAUUACACUGUAGCAGGCACUACAUCUGCCUAUGAGCAAUGGACAGAACUGAGAAUACCUUAUCAUGAACCGUAGUGAACACUGCUGGAAACAUCCUGUUUUACUGACAGGCUGUUUGUGGAAGAUGUAAGGUCAAGUGCUAGGGCCCCCUGUUUAUUUUAGACCUACAUUGUAAAUGUUGUGCACUGGACCAUGGAGCCUGGUCACUACAGGGUUUACCCAAGCCUCUUAAAACUGGGGACAAAUUCAAUUUCUAAUCUUAAAAAUAUCAUCUUGAUUCUCUAAUCAUACUGUUAAAAUUAUGUUUUACAUACUUAUCUAAUCUCUGUGGAAUUCCUAAUCCAAUUAAAUAGUAAUGUCCAAUAUUUUUAAAUAUAUUUGCAGAUAACAAAUUGCUGUAGACUAAUAAGGCAACUGCCAUAUUAUAUUCUGACUCUUUACUGGACUCAGCAGACUCUGCACUGUAUACUACUGAACACAAUGAAGUAUCAACGUCUUUUCAUUUCGGAAUUCAAGUAGCAAGCGUUGGCACACAACAGCAUCCCUCCUGAUCAAGUGAAAAGGAAUCCUAUGACACCGCUUGAUCUUUGUCUGACAUGGAAAUCUGCAAAUCAAAUAAGGUGGAAGAAUAACAUCUGGUUAAAAAAUUUAUGUGGAAAAAUAUCUGCUUUAAAGUGAUGUCAUGAACUGGACGCUGCACUCUUGAUUCCAACACUAAUAUUGUCAUGACCAAAUGUUAAAGUUCAUAUUCAGCAAGUUGAAGAUAACUGACACCAUCUUUAAGUAUAAGUUGCACAAAUAUGGUAUUCAGAAGUUUUUUGUUUACACUACUGAUGUAUAUAUAGUAUAAAAAAAUGGAUUUCUGUAAUAGAAUAAAGUAUUGGAAUACA